rnacentral:rRNA from 1 species
CCCUUAGAUGUCCUGGGCCGCACGCGUGCUACACUGACGCCUACAGCGAGUACUUCCCAGCCCCGAGAGGCGGCUGGUAAUCAGCAAUAGGCGUCGUGAUGGGGAUAGAUCUUUGGAAUUCUGGAUCUUGAACGAGGAAUGCCUAGUAAGCGCAGGCCAUUAGCCUGCGCUGAUUACGUCCCUGCCCUUUGUACACACCGCCCGUCGCUCCUACCGAUCUCGAGUGGUCCGGUGAAUCUUUCGGACUGCGCGCAGCUUCGUGCCGUGUCGCGGAAAGUCAGGUAAACCUAAUCACUUAGAGGAAGGACAANUCGUAACA